UACGGAGGGUGCAAGCGUUAAUCGGAAUUACUGGGCGUAAAGCGUGCGUAGGCGGUUUUUUUAGUCAGAUGUGAAAGCCCCGGGCUCAACCUGGGAACUGCAUUUGAUACUGGCAGACUAGAGUAUGGUAGAGGGGGGUAGAAUUCCUGGUGUAGCGGUGAAAUGCGUAGAUAUCAGGAGGAAUACCAGUGGCGAAGGCGACCCACUGGGCCAAUACUGACGCUGAGGUACGAAAGCGUGGGUAGCGAACAGG
rnacentral:rRNA from 1 species